rnacentral:rRNA from 1 species
AUUGAACGCUGGCGGAAUGCUUUACACAUGCAAGUCGAACGGCAGCACGGGGGCAACACUGGUGGCGAGUGGCGAACGGGUGAGUAAUACAUCGGAACGUGCCCAGUCGUGGGGGAUAACGUAGCGAAAGUUACGCUAAUACCGCAUACGAUCUACGGAUGAAAGCGGGGGACCGUAAGGCCUCGCGCGAUUGGAGCGGCCGAUGUCAGAUUAGGUAGUUGGUGAGGUAAAGGCUCACCAAGCAGACGAUCUGUAGCUGGUCUGAGAGGACGACCAGCCAGACUGGGACGGAGAGACGGCCCAGACGCCUACGGGAGGCAGCAGUGGGGAAUUUUGGACAAUGGGCGCGAGCCUGAUCCAGCCAUGCCGCGCGCAGGACGAAGGCCUUCGGGUUGUAAACUGCUUUUGUACGGAACGAAAAGGCUCUGGUUAAUACCAGGGGCUCAUGACGGUACCGUAAGAAUAAGCACCGGCUAACUACGUGCCAGCCGCCGCAGUAA